GACAGAGGUCCCGAGCGUUAGGCGGAAUCACUGGGCUUAAAGCGUGUGUAGGCGGAUUGGUAAGUACCUUGUGAAAUCCCACGGCUCAACCGUGGAACUGCUGGGUAUACUGCCUGUCUUGAGUCAUCUAGGGGCGAGCGGAACAAAUGGUGGAGCGGUGAAAUGCGUAGAUAUCAUUUGGAACGCCAAUGGUGAAAACAGCUCGCUGGGGAUGUACUGACGCUGAGACACGAAAGCCAGGGGAGCAAACGGG
rnacentral:rRNA from 1 species